GUGCUCGCUUCGGCAGCAUGUACACUAAAAUUGGAAUGAUACAGAACAGAUUAGCAUGGGAUGAUAUGCAAAUUCAUGACGUGUUCUAUACUACA
ensembl:snRNA U6 U6 spliceosomal RNA